CAGUCGCCGCGGGAAUACGUAGGUCCCGAGCGUUGUCCGGAUUUAUUGGGCGUAAAGCGAGCGCAGGCGGUUAGAUAAGUCUGAAGUUAAAGGCUGUGGCUUAACCAUAGUACGCUUUGGAAACUGUUUAACUUGAGUGCAAGAGGGGAGAGUGGAAUUCCAUGUGUAGCGGUGAAAUGCGUAGAUAUAUGGAGGAACACCGGUGGCGAAAGCGGCUCUCUGGCUUGUAACUGACGCUGAGGCUCGAAAGCGUGGGGAGCAAACAGGAUUAGAUACCCCAGUAGUCCAUGUCUCUUAUACC
rnacentral:rRNA from 1 species